rnacentral:rRNA from 1 species
GACGAACGCUGGCUGCGUGCUUAACACAUGCAAGUCGAACGCUGAAACCCUGGUGCUUGCACCGGGGUGGAUGAGUGGCGAACGGGUGAGUAACACGUGAGUAACCUGCCCCCGACUUCGGGAUAAGCCCGGGAAACUGGGUCUAAUACCGGAUAUGAGCGCCCCUCGCAUGAGGGAUGCUGGAAAUUCUUUUCGGUUGGGGAUGGGCUCGCGGCCUAUCAGUUUGUUGGUAGGGUAAUGGCUCACCAAGACGACGACGGGUAGCCGGCCUGAAGUGGCGACCGGACAGACUGGGCCUGAGACACGGACCAGACUCCUACGGGAGGCCGCAGUGGGGAAUAUUGCACAACGGGGGAAACCCUGAGGCAGCGACGCAGCGUGCGGGAUGACGGCGUUCGGGUUGUAAACCGCUCUCAGCAGGGGAGUAGCCCCUUGGGGUGACGGUACCUGCAGAAGAAGUACCGGCUAACUACGUGCCAGCCGCCGCGGUAA